rnacentral:rRNA from 1 species
AUCAAAUGAACUAAGGCUUACGGUGGAGACCUAGGCACCCAAAGACGAUGAAGGGCGCAGAUACCGGCGAAACGCUUCGGGGAGCUGGCAACAAGCUUUGAUCCGAAGAUCCCCGAAUAGGGCAACCUUGAAAACUUCCAACAGAAUUCAUAAGUUGGAAAGAGACAACCCAGUGAAUUGAAACAUCUUAGUAGCUGGAGGAAGAGAAAGCAAAAGCGAUUCCCGUAGUAGCGGCGAGCGAACCGGGAACAGCCUAAACCCAGCAAUGGGUGUAGUGGGAGGACAAAUUAAAGCAGCAAAACCAUGAAAACGAAGCAGCUGAAACCUGCACCAUAGAUGGUGAAAGUCCAGUAGUUAUAAUGUAAAGCAGAAGCGAAGUCUAAUUUCCCGAGUAGCAUGGGGCACGUGGAAUCCCGUGUGAAUCAGCGAGGACCACCUCGUAAGGCUAAAUACUCUUGGGUGACCGAUAGCGAAAUAGUAACGCGAGUGAAAGGUGAAAAGAACCCCCGUAGGGGAGUGAAAUAGAACAUGAAACCGUAAGCUGACAAGCAGUGGGAGGGUUUGUUAUAAGCCUGACCGCGUGCCUGUUGAAGAAUGAGCCGGCGACUUAGAGGAAGUGGCAAUAGGUUAAGGAGUUAUAUCCGGAGCCAAUGCGAAAGCGAGUCUGAAUAGGGCGUAAAUGUCAUUUCUUCUGGACCCGAACCCGGGUGAUCUAACCAUGACCAGGCUGAAGCUUGGGUAACACUAAGUGGAGGGCCGAACCGACCGAUGUUGAAAAAUCGGCGGAUGAGUUGUGGUUAUGCGGAGAAAUUCCAAUCGAACUCGGAGCUAGCUGGAUCUCCCCGAAAUGCGUUGAGGCGCAGCGGCAACGAUGAGCUAUCAUGGGGUAAAGCGACUGUUUCGAUGCGGGCUGCGAAAGCGGUACCAAGUCGUGGCAAACUCAGAAUACAUGGUAAUGCUUUCCGUUAGCCAGUGAGACGGAGGGGGAUAAGCUCCUACGUCAAGAGGGAAACAGCCCAGAUCACCAGCUAAGGCCCCUAAAUGGUCACUAAGUGGAAAAGGAUGUGAGAAUGCUGAAACAACCAGGAGGUUUGCUUAGAAGCAGCCACCCUUGAAAGAGUGCGUAAUAGCUCACUGGUAAAGCGUUUUUGCGCCGAUAAUGGCCGGGACUAAGUGACCUGCCGAAGCUGUGAGAUUUCUAUAAAGAAAUCGGUAGGGGAGCGUUCCGUAUUUGGGUGAAGUUUUCAUGUAAAUGGGAAUGGACAAUUCGGAAGUGAGAAUGUCGGCUUGAGUAACGAAAACAUUGGUGUGAAUCCAAUGCCCCGAAAACCGUUGGGUUCCUCCACUAGGUUCGUCCAUGGGGGGUGAGUCAGGUCCUAAGGCUAGGCCGAAAGGCGUCGUCGAUGGCAAACAGGUUAAUAUUCCUGUACUAAUUCUAUUGGGAACCAAGGGACGAAGAAGACUAAACUGAAACUGCUUUUGGAUUUCAGUGGAAGCGUUUAGGUGUUGAGAGUUAGAAUAAAAACUAUACUUGAGCUAAGGCGUUAUCCCGAUAUAACUCCUCGUGAGUUAUGUCGUCAGUGAUGUCAUACUUCCUAGAAAAGCUUGAACACCAUUAACAAUAGAAUUACCUGUACCUAAAACCGACACAGGUAGGUUGGUAGAGAAUACCAAGGGGCGCGAGAGAACUCUCUCUAAGGAACUCGGCAAACUGGCCCCGUAACUUCGGAAGAAGGGGUGUAUGUUUUAUACAUAUCGCAGUGACCAGGCCCUUGCAACUGUUUAUCAAAAACACAGGUCUCCGCAAAGUCGAAAGACAACAUAUGGGGGCUGACGCCUGCCCAGUGCCGGAAGGUUAAGGAAGUUGGUUAUUCUUUAUUAGAAAAAGCUGACGACCGAAGCCCCGGUGAACGGCGGUCGUAACUAUAACGAUCCUAAGGUAGCGAAAUUCAUUGUCGAGUAAGUUUCGACCUGCACGAAAGGCGUAAUGAUAAGGGCGCUGUCUCGGAGAGAGACUCGGUGAAAUAGACUUGUCCGUGAAGAUGCGGACUACCUGUACCUGGACAGAAAGACCCUAUGAAGCUUGACUGUAUCCUGGAAUUGGGUUCGGGCUUUUCUUGCGCAGCCUAGGUGGGAGGCGUUGAUGGUUUCCUUCCGGGGAAAUCGGAGCCGUCAUUGAGAGACCACUCUGGAAGAGCUAGAAUCCUAAUGGUGAUCUUUGAAUCAAGACACUUGACAGUUUCAGGUGGGCAGUUUAUCUGGGGCGGAUGCCUCCUAAAAGGUAACGGAGGCGUGCAAAGGUUCCCUCAGUCUGGACGGAAAUCAGACAUUGAGUGUAAAGGCAAAAGGGAGCUUGACUGCAAGACCUACAAGUCGAGCAGGGGCGAAAGCCGGCCUUAGUGAUCCGACGGUGCCGUGUGGAAGGGCCGUCGCUCAACGGAUAAAAGUUACUCUAGGGAUAACAGGCUGAUCUUCCCCAAGAGUUCACAUCGACGGGAAGGUUUGGCACCUCGAUGUCGGCUCAUCACAUCCUGGAGCGGCAGUACGUUCCAAGGGUUGGGCUGUUCGCCCAUUAAAGUGGUACGUGAGCUGGGUUCAGAACGUCGUGAGACAGUUCGGUCCAUAUCCGGUAUAGGCGUUAGAGCAUUGAGAGGAACCCUUUUUAGUACGAGAGGAUUGAAAGGGACGUGUCAAUGGUGUACCAGUUCUCACUCCAGUGGGAAACGCUGGGUAGCUAUACACGGAGACGAUAAAAGCUGACAGCAUCUAAGUUUGAAGCUCACCUCAAGAUGAGUGCUCUCCAUUAGACCACGGGAAGAUAACCCGGUUAAUAGGAUUCAAGUGCACAGUCCGUAAUGGCUUUAGCUGAGAAUUACUAAGAGUCGAUUGAUUUUGAU